rnacentral:rRNA from 1 species
AGAGUUUGAUCCUGGCUCAGGAUGAACGCUGGCGGCGUGCCUAAUACAUGCAAGUCGAGCGAACGGACGAGAAGCUUGCUUCUCUGAUGUUAGCGGCGGACGGGUGAGUAACACGUGGAUAACCUACCUAUAAGACUGGGAUAACUUCGGGAAACCGGAGCUAAUACCGGAUAAUAUUUUGAACCGCAUGGUUCAAAAGUAAAAGACGGUCUUGCUGUCACUUAUAGAUGGAUCCGCGCUGCAUUAGCUAGUUGGUAAGGUAACGGCUUACCAAGGCAACGAUGCAUAGCCGACCUGAGAGGGUGAUCGGCCACACUGGAACUGAGACACGGUCCAGACUCCUACGGGAGGCAGCAGUAGGGAAUCUUCCGCAAUGGGCGAAAGCCUGACGGAGCAACGCCGCGUGAGUGAUGAAGGUCUUCGGAUCGUAAAACUCUGUUAUUAGGGAAGAACAUAUGUGUAAGUAACUGUGCACAUCUUGACGGUACCUAAUCAGAAAGCCACGGCUAACUACGUGCCAGCAGCCGCGGUAAUACGUAGGUGGCAAGCGUUAUCCGGAAUUAUUGGGCGUAAAGCGCGCGUAGGCGGUUUUUUAAGUCUGAUGUGAAAGCCCACGGCUCAACCGUGGAGGGUCAUUGGAAACUGGAAAACUUGAGUGCAGAAGAGGAAAGUGGAAUUCCAUGUGUAGCGGUGAAAUGCGCAGAGAUAUGGAGGAACACCAGUGGCGAAGGCGACUUUCUGGUCUGUAACUGACGCUGAUGUGCGAAAGCGUGGGGAUCAAACAGGAUUAGAUACCCUGGUAGUCCACGCCGUAAACGAUGAGUGCUAAGUGUUAGGGGGUUUCCGCCCCUUAGUGCUGCAGCUAACGCAUUAAGCACUCCGCCUGGGGAGUACGACCGCAAGGUUGAAACUCAAAGGAAUUGACGGGGACCCGCACAAGC